UUUUGCUGAUAUCUAAAUCUGAAAUGUAGCUAAAAGCUAAGCUAAGCUAAUCGCCUAAUAGCAGCUAGCGAAAGCUACCUGCUAAUAGGCGGUGGGUGUUUACAAUGAAAUAAGGUAAUACAAUGAGGUAAAAAAAUAUACUCACAACUGGUAACACGAACAUCCAUCUUGCCCACGUUAUUAUUCCCCCUUUUUGCCUGGGUUCGCAUGCCGGUCUGGGCUUGUCAUGUUCACAGAGGAAGCCAUUACUCCAGCUUGAUUAUGACCUACAGGUGAGAGGUCACAGCAUCGCGGUCUCCUAUUGGUCAUGUAGGAAGCAGGAAGCAGCAAAAGCGCGGUUUCCUCUGUUGGCUUAACAACAAACUGGGUAAAAAAUGGGAAAUCUCACGCGACUGAAAAAACUAAUUAACGAGGAGGUUUCGAAAAGAGGCCCACUGAAGCUUAUAAAAUAUCUUCAGAGGAAAAAGCUACUUAAAAGAAAAAUGAAAUGAAAAGUCUGCCAGCAGAAAAUGGAACUGAAGAAAAGGUUGAACAACGGAGACCAAUAUGCUUGGUAAGAUAUCUAUUUUAAUUUUCAUAUUAUAUUUUUAGACUCAACUUCAUACAAAGUGACACACUUACUGUAAAAUUCAUUAGUAUUAUUUGUUUUCACACUAAAAUUCUCCUUAAAACAGAGCUAACAGGGAACCUCUUUAACAUAUUCCAUCCCUGCUAAACAAGACUUUACCCUCCUCUCAUGUUAGUGCGUGUCCUCCUCGCUCCUCUGUCCAUGCAGAGGUGCAAUGAGCACCCUGGACAAGGGGGAUAAAAGCAGCAUUAACAGGGCACUAGGCCCCUGUGUGUGGUCUCAUUUACAAUGACUUGUGCAUACAUAUUUCUCUGUCAUAAAAAAGAAAAAUGAGUAGCCUAUUUUAAGUAUAUUAAAGUCGAUUAACAUAACAUGUAAUUGUCUGGCAAAUUAAAGCAAGUGAAGUCAGUUAGAUUAUCACCUUAAAGACUUGUCAUUAACAUUACAACUACACAGAGUCCCUUUUAUCAUAUUUUUCUUAUUUGACAAAAAGACAAUGGUAAAUUGAUGGCUAAAGUUAAACAAAACAAGGAAUGACAAAAUUUGUCUGCAAGUGCACAUUAAGUUUAGUUUAAACAAAUACUUAUUGCAUAUAAUUAAACAUACAUAUUUCAUGUUACUAUUUUGAAAAUAGGAUCUGUCGUGGAGCAGCACAUGGUGGAACACGUCAAACAAACCUCCGUCAGACACAAGUCACUUUUCAGCCGUUCUAAAGUCUCACUUCAACGCUGGAUGCAAUUUAUCUACAGAUUUUCUCAGGAUCUGCGAUUACGUCAAAUCGACAUGAUAGAUGACACCAUUGCAGGCAGUACAACAACACUUAGUAAAAUGUCCCAAAAAAUAAGAAGGUUAUGUGUGGCUGCAGUUCAAAGAUUGAGACGUCGUACAGGUCAGCAGAUUGGUGGCCGAAGGGAGUUUGUUGUGAUCGAUGAGAGUCACUUUCGUCACAAACGAAAGUUUUUUGUUUCUGCAUCAGUAUGGGAGAGGAAGAAUGGCUGGGGGAUGGAAAAGAAGAAAGUGGGUCUUUGGAAUGCUGGGCAUAAAACAUCGAGGGAAAACAAGGCCUAUCUUGCGACUUGUGGAGAAAGGAUCUCGAAGACAUCUUGUUCCUGUGAUUACCUUUCAUGUCCGGAUUGGUUCCUCAGUGAUAAGUGAUGAAUGGCAGGCCUAUCGUGUACUCCCAGAUUUAGGGUAUGAACACCAUACUGUUAACCACAGCAGGUGGUAUGUUGACCCUCGUACAGGUGCCCAUACCCAACAUCUGGAGAGAGCCCGGAGGUCUUACAAGGAGGAAAUGUGGAGACUCUGGGGUAACAGAAAUGAUAGACUACUGUCAGAACACCUUACAGUUACUGAGUGGAAUGAGUGGCUUGCAAAAAAGCACAAAAAUGGUACAUUGGGGAGACUGAUAUAUGACAUUUCCAAAAAAUACAAAUAAUUCUAAAAGUUAAUGUUGCUACUGCUAUUUUUUUUUCUUUUUGAAAAUGUUUUUUGAAAACUUUAUGUAAAGAGCUACAGGUCAUAUACUUUGCAUCCAGCCGUGUUCUGUAUUACCUCAAAUAUUGGCUGAUAGUUUAUGACACUGUUUUUAUUUUUGUAUCAACAUUUGUGUGUCCAAUCUGUAAGCAUUGUUCUGAUGUUUUUGUGAUUGGCAUCUUAAAAAUACAGUGCGUUCUGUAUCUA